AAACCAGCACCUCAAGUGGUCAGGAGGAUUAUUGGGCCUAAAGCAUCCGUAGCCUGCUCUGUAAGUUUUCGGUUAAAUCCAUAUGCUCAACAUAUGGGCUGCCGGGAAUACUGCACAGCUAGGGAGUGGGAGAGGUAGACGGUACUCGGUAGGAAGGGGUAAAAUCCUUUGAUCUAUUGAUGACCACCUGUGGCGAAGGCGGUCUACCAGAACACGUCCGACGGUGAGGGAUGAAAGCUGGGGGAGCAAACCGGAUUAGAAACCCGAGUAGUCC
rnacentral:rRNA from 1 species